rnacentral:rRNA from 1 species
CGUGGGUAACCUGCCCAAGAGACUGGGAUAACACCUGGAAACAGAUGCUAAUACCGGAUAACAACACUAGACGCAUGUCUAGAGUUUAAAAGAUGGUUCUGCUAUCACUCUUGGAUGGACCUGCGGUGCAUUAGCUAGUUGGUAAGGUAACGGCUUACCAAGGCAAUGAUGCAUAGCCGAGUUGAGAGACUGAUCGGCCUCAUUGGGACUGAGACACGGCCCAAACUCCUACGGAAGGCAGCAG